rnacentral:lncRNA from 1 species
UCUUGUGUAUAAUAUCAUCUGUUGACUGACAAACAGAAGGAGGUCUGGUUGGACCACUCUAAGACUCUACUCUCUAUGUUCAACACGUCCAAUUCAAGUCACACCAUCAUUUUCUUAGAUGAGAAAAUAUUUACUAUUAAAGGCAAAAGGAACUCUCAAAAUGACAGAUGGAUCUCCAUGUCCAAGGACAAUGUCCCUUAUGUGUACAAAUCCAAGAACUCCAGCUCCAUUAUGGUCCUGGGCGUUAUCACCAGCACAGAGAAUGUCAAGCCGCCAUUCUUCUUCAAGAAGGGAGAAAAGGUCAACUCUACUAUGUAUGUUGAGUGCUUGAGGUCCACUGUGCUUCUGUGGGUGGAGGCAAACUUCCCGUAGCCCAACGUGUGGCAACAGUGCUCUGCCCCCUGCAACACGUCCAAGAUCACCCAAGAGUUCAUCAGGACCAACUUUUACGAUUUCUGGCCCCCCAAGACCUGGCCCUCCAACUCUCCCGAUUACAAUCCGUUGGAUUACUUGUUCUAGUGAAAGUUGGAGAGGGAAGUCUGCUCAAAGCACCACAACAGCCCGAAGGCAGCCAUAAAGAAGCGAGGAUCUCGGCUGCAGAUGUGAAGAAUGCAUGCGAGAUCUUCAGGGCCAGGAUCAAUGAAGGGAUUUUUAUUUAAAUGGAAUCCCAAACCGUUUAUAUUAUUUGUACCUUGGGAAAUACUAGUAAAUCACGUCAUUGCUACUCUUCUUUUUCAUUGUCUAUUACUACUCGCUCCUACUCCGUCUCAGCCAUCGCUCGACAAUAAUCAAUUUCGUUAUCCCCUUCUCUCGUCCCAUCCUCUUUUCACAAUUCAAAUCUACGUAAACAAUAACUAUAAGCAAAUUAUUAGGGCCUUAACUCCCUUCUCCAUGAUCACUUACUCUACCCUACUUCAAGCUCAACACUGGAUUAAAUCAUAUGAGUUACAACAAUCAUCAUAAGAUUAUGCAGGGACUUGUAAUAGAUUUCUAGAAUAAAUCAUUCAUCCCCUUCCCAUCCAAUCAGAACUGGUCAAACUUCAAUACGUAGGUUUCAAAGCAUUUUGAAGAAAUCACGGAAUACUACUAGUAUGGUAAUCAUUGACAUUCUAAUGCAAUCCAAUUCUAAUUUCUUCUUCAAGAGGCCAUGGAGAGGAAUGUAUGAGAGGAUCUAUUCUUUGUAGUAAUUAACUAUCUUCAUAUUACUGGAAGGAUAUGGGAUCCUAACGAAUGGAAGUAAAAAUAUAGUUUCAAGACCCUACCGGAAUAAAACAUGGUUUUUAAUACAAGAAACCAAUUGAUCUGUUGAGUUGUCAAGCUUUGAGGAUUGAAUAGGAUAAGGAGAUCGUCACAGUUUUAAGUUUAAGUCAAAUUCAAACUCAGAAAGUCCAUGCCUAGGAUGGAACAUUGGACAUCAUUAUAACGAACUUCCUUCUUAAAGAGCGAAUCGAAAUAGAUUAUAUUAAUCCUUGUUUUUGUAAAUAUAAAUGAUAAAAAUAAA